UACGUAGGGUGCAAGCGUUAUCCGGAAUUAUUGGGCGUAAAGAGCUCGUAGGCGGUUUGUCGCGUCUGCUGUGAAAACCCGAGGCUCAACCUCGGGCCUGCAGUGGGUACGGGCAGACUAGAGUGCGGUAGGGGAGAUUGGAAUUCCUGGUGUAGCGGUGGAAUGCGCAGAUAUCAGGAGGAACACCAAUGGCGAAAGCAGCUCUCUGGGACGGUACUGACGCUGAGACGCGAAAGCGUGGGGAGCGAACAGG
rnacentral:rRNA from 1 species